rnacentral:rRNA from 1 species
ACGGGUGCGUAACGCGUAUGCAAUCUACCCUUUACUGGGGAAUAGCCCGGAGAAAUUCGGAUUAACACCGCAUAAUAUAUUGAGGAGGCAUCUUUUUAAUAUUAAAUCUACGGAGGUAAAGGAUGAGCAUGCGUCUGAUUAGUUAGUUGGUGAGGUAACGGCUCACCAAGACGAUGAUCAGUCGGGGUUCUGAGAGGAAGGUCCCCCACCACUGGUACUGAGAUACGGACCAG